UACAGAGGGUGCGAGCGUUGAUCGGAAUUACUGGGCGUAAAGCGCACGUAGUCGGCUUUGCAAGUCGGUUGUGAAAUCCCCGGGCUCAACCUGGGAACUGCAUCCGAGACUGCAUUGCUAGAGUAUGGGAGAGGAAAGCGGAAUUUCUGGUGUAGCAGUGAAAUGCGUAGAUAUCAGAAGGAACAUCAGUGGCGAAGGCGGCUUUCUGGACCAAUACUGACGAUCAGGUGCGAAAGCGUGGGGAGCAAACAGG
rnacentral:rRNA from 1 species